UACGGAGGGUGCGAGCGUUAUCCGGAAUUACUGGGUUUAAAGGGUGCGUAGGCGGCUUUGUAAGUCAGGAGUGAAAGUUUGCGGCUCAACCGUAAAAUUGCUUUUGAUACUGCAUAGCUAGAAUUAGGAUGAGGUCAGCGGAAUGUGGCAUGUAGCGGUGAAAUGCAUAGAUAUGCCAUAGAACACCAAUUGCGAAGGCAGCUGGCUAGACCUGGAUUGACGCUGAGGCACGAAAGCGUGGGGAGCGAACAGG
rnacentral:rRNA from 1 species